AGAGUUUGAUCAUGGCUCAGGAUGAACGCUAGCGGCAGGCCUAAUACAUGCAAGUCGAACGGGUGGUAGCAAUACCACUAGUGGCGCACGGGUGCGUAACGCGUAACCAACCUACCCAGUUCAGGGGGAUAGCCCGCCGAAAGGCGGAUUAAUACCGCAUAAGACUAGAGCGUGGCAUCACGUAGUAGUUAAAGAUUUAUCGGAAUUGGAUGGGGUUGCGUAGCAUUAGCUAGAUGGCGGGGUAACGGCCCACCAUGGCGACGAUGCUUAGGGGACCUGAGAGGGUGAUCCCCCACACUGGCACUGAGAUACGGGCCAGACUCCUACGGGAGGCAGCAGUAGGGAAUAUUGGGCAAUGGUCGAGAGACUGACCCAGCCAUGCCGCGUGCCGGAUGAAGGCCUUCUGGGUUGUAAACGGCUUUUCUCAGGGAAGAAAAAGGGUAUGCGUACUCAACUGACGGUACCUGAGGAAUAAGCACCGGCUAACUCCGUGCCAGCAGCCGCGGUAAUACGGAGGGUGCAAGCGUUGUCCGGAUUUAUUGGGUUUAAAGGGUGCGUAGGUGGCCUUGUAAGUCCGUGGUGAAAGCCUCUUGCUCAACAAGAGAACUGCCAUGGAUACUGCCGGGCUUGAGUGUAGACGAGGGUGGCGGAAUAGAGGCUGUAGCGGUGAAAUGCAUAGAUAGCCUCUAGAACCCCGAUUGCGUAGGCAGCUGCCUAGACUACAACUGACACUGAGGCACGAAAGCGUGGGGAGCGAACAGGAUUAGAUACCCUAGUAGUCC
rnacentral:rRNA from 1 species